CCACGGGUGAGUAACACGUAUCCAACCUGCCGUCUACUCUUGGCCAGCCUCCUGAAGGAAGAUUAAUCCAGGAUGGCAUCAUGAGUUCACAUGUCCGCAUGAUUAAAGGUAUUUUCCGGUAGACGAUGGGGAUGCGUUCCAUUAGAUAGUAGGCGGGGUAACGGCCCACCUAGUCAACGAUGGAUAGGGGUUCUGAGAGGAAGGUCCCCCACAUUGGAACUGAGACACGGUCCAA
rnacentral:rRNA from 1 species